rnacentral:rRNA from 1 species
UACGGAGGGUGCAAGCGUUAAUCGGAAUUACUGGGCGUAAAGCGCACGCAGGUGGCUGAGUCAGUCGAUUGUGAAAGCCCUGGGCUUAACCUGGGAAUUGCAGUCGAUACUACUCAGCUAGAGUAUGGGAGAGGGCAGUGGAAUUCCCGGUGUAGCGGUGAAAUGCGUAGAUAUCGGGAGGAACAUCAGUGGCGAAGGGCGGCUGCCUGGCCCCAAUACUG